CAGUCGCCGCGGUAAUACGUAGGGUGCGAGCGUUAAUCGGAAUUACUGGGCGUAAAGCGUGCGCAGGCGGUUAUAUAAGACAGAUGUGAAAUCCCCGGGCUCAACCUGGGACCUGCAUUUGUGACUGUAUAGCUAGAGUACGGUAGAGGGGGAUGGAAUUCCGCGUGUAGCAGUGAAAUGCGUAGAUAUGCGGAGGAACACCGAUGGCGAAGGCAUUCCCCUGGACCUGUACUGACGCUCAUGCACGAAAGCGUGGGGAGCAAACAGGAUUAGAGACCCCCGUAGUCCCUGUCUCUUAUAC
rnacentral:rRNA from 1 species